rfam:Triticum urartu cultivar G1812 contig822177, whole genome shotgun sequence.
CACAGUGGUGGCGCGUCACUCUCCCAUAAUCGGGCGACGUUGUCAUGCAUCCAGCUAAAAUAACCGCUAUGCAGAUUUCUAAGCCCGCCCACUCGGCGGGCUUUUUAUU